UUGCUUAUGACUUUGCUCUACUUGCUUAUAUUCAAGAUUAUAUUGUUCUUAGUUUAUCAUGGUUAUGUACUUGGCUUAGUUAGAUUGGAACUAUAUACAUGCUUAGGAUCGUAUAGCGUUUAUCCAUCAGAUCCAUGGGUAAAUGAUAGAUAUUGUGUAGCCGUGGUGCUUAUACCGUAUUUAUCUGCGAUUGUACCCAAUAUGCCAGAUCGUGGGGUAGUUCGUGAUAGUGACAGCUUCAUUGAUUCUUAUAUAGUCCCCC
rnacentral:lncRNA from 1 species